UACGGAGGGAGCUAGCGUUAUUCGGAAUUACUGGGCGUAAAGCGCACGUAGGCGGCUUUGUAAGUUAGAGGUGAAAGCCUGGAGCUCAACUCCAGAAUUGCCUUUAAGACUGCAUCGCUCGAAUCCGGGAGAGGUGAGUGGAAUUCCGAGUGUAGAGGUGAAAUUCGUAGAUAUUCGGAAGAACACCAGUGGCGAAGGCGGCUCACUGGACCGGCAUUGACGCUGAGGUGCGAAAGCGUGGGGAGCAAACAGG
rnacentral:rRNA from 1 species